AACGAACGCUGGCGGCGUGCCUAACACAUGCAAGUCGAGCGCGAAAAGGGCAACCUGAGUAGAGCGGCGCACGGGUGCGUAACACGUGGGUAAUCUGCCUUAGAGUCGAGGAUAACCUUCCGAAAGGUUGGCUAAUACUCGGUAAGCUUACGGUGUCUUCGGACGCUGUGGGAAAAGUAGGCCUCUGUUUACAAGCUUACGCUCUGAGAUGAGCCCGCGGCCCAUCAGCUAGUUGGCGGGGUAACGGCCCACCAAGGCAACGACGGGUAGCUGGUCUGAGAGGACGAUCAGCCACACUGGAACUGAGACACGGUCCAGACUCCUACGGGAGGCAGCAGUGGGGAAUUUUCCACAAUGGGCGAAAGCCUGAUGGAGCAACGCCGCGUGUGUGAUGAAGGUUUUCGGAUCGUAAAGCACUUUCGACCGGGACGAAAAACCUCUGGCUAACAUCCAGGGGCCUGACGGUACCGGGAGAAGAAGCACCGGCUAACUCUGUGCCAGCCGCCGCGGUAAGAC
rnacentral:rRNA from 1 species